rnacentral:rRNA from 1 species
UUCAUGGUGAAAUACUGAAAGACGGUUUCGGCUGUCGCUAUCAGAUGGGCCCGCGGCGCAUUAGCUAGUUGGUGAGGUAACGGCUCACCAAGGCGACGAUGCGUAGCCGACCUGAGAGGGUGAUCGGCCACACUGGGACUGAGACACGGCCCAGACUCCUACGGGAGGCAGCAGUAGGGAAUCUUCCACAAUGGGCGAAAGCCUGAUGGAGCAACGCCGCGUGAGUGAAGAAGGUUUUCGGAUCGUAAAACUCUGUUGUAAGGGAAGAACAAGUACAGUAGUAACUGGCUGUACCUUGACGGUACCUUAUUAGAAAGCCACGGCUAACUACGUGCCAGCAGCCGCGGUAAUACGUAGGUGGCAAGCGUUGUCCGGAAUUAUUGGGCGUAAAGCGCGCGCAGGCGGUCUUUUAAGUCUGAU